GGGGGGGAGAGUAAAAUAAAGCGAGAGCCGGGAAACACCACCGUUUACAGAAAUCACGCAUCCAGGUGCGCCCAGCAUAAAGGCUAUGAUGAGAAGGGCAGGCAGCAGCAAGUUGUGAGGAUGUGGGGGGGCUGGCACUCUCCUACACGGCCAGUGGGGGCGGAAGGCGGUGCAGGCACUUGGAAAGCUUUGGCGGAGCCUACCGAAGCUGAGGGUACACGUACGUGCGACCCAGCCAUUCACCCCGAGCUAUUUACCCAACAGAGAUACGUACUACGAUCACCGAAAGCCUUGUUCAGGAAUGCGCGGCGGUGUUUGGAACAGCUGGAAACUGGAAACCCUCCACGCGCCCAACAGCGGGAGAAUGGCGCUCUGUAGCAGCUCCAUAUGAGGCCAUCACAGACAGCAAAGAGAAUAGACGAGCUGGGAUGAGCUCCACCCCAACUUGUACCUUUUAAGUUAAAACCAGCAGCACAGCCCCCUGGCCCCAGACUGUGGGGGUGUGAACCCUGGGCUACCGCCAGCUUCCUGAUCUGGAAGAGUCGCCUUGAUUUUCUCCUUGCCUCACCUGGAAAGUGGUGACGAUAACAGCAUUCGCCUCCUACGGUCAUCGGAGGAUCAGAGGAGCGGAUGUACUUUUAGCACAGCGUUGGGUUCCAGGCAAGGACUGUUAUUAAUUUAGGUCAAACGGCCUCCAAGCUUGAAUGAGCACACGGCCCCCACAGACGGAUAUUUAUUUAUGAAGGAUAGAUGUGCCACUGAACUAGCCUAUUAUGUACACUAUAAAGCACAUACUCGAAUGGAAUUUUUAAAAAGAUCACGAGUAGACACA